rnacentral:lncRNA from 1 species
CUGAAUUUGAAGCUAAGAAUGCAAACUCUCACAGAAAAAAAUUAAUAAAAUAAAGGGGGGAAAAGGCCCCCAAACAACAAACAAAACAAAAAAAAGGAAGACAGAGUUGUUAAAUACUAAGAAUAAGUGAGAAUACGUCCUUAAUUCUCAUUAUGACAAGCCAAGACGAUGGAAUAUUAGCCUAUGAAUCCAUAUAUAUUUUGAGCUACAGGUGAAUUUAUCAAGGAUUUCUCUAUGUAAGUAGCUAUGGCUGUCCUGGAACUUGUUCUGUUGACCAGACUGUCCCAGAACUCAAGAGAUGUGCCUGCCUCUGGCUCAGAGUGCUGAAAUAAAAGGUAUGUGCCAAUACAGAUUUUUUUAAGAUUUAUUUUUAUUACUUUUAAUGUGUGUGUGUGUGUGUGUGUGUGUGUGUGCUGCCUAACCUGGGUGCUGUGACUCAAACACAGGUCCUCCAGAGGAGCAGCCCAUGCUUUUAAUUGCUGGGGCAUCUAUCCAGUCUCAGCAUUAACAUCUCCUAAGAAUACAAAGAUUGUAAACGCUGAGGUUGAUGGCAUGGCUCAAGGGUUAAGAGCAAAGAAACUCACAGCCACUUGUAACUCCAGUUCCAGGAGAUUCAAAGUCACCCUCUGUUCUCUGUGGUCACCUGUUCUCACGUGCACACUUCCUCCCCUCAAACAUGUAAAAAUAAUAAAAAUACUACUACUAAGCAACCCUUUUUCCACACUCGGAGGGAGGCUGAAACACAACGAAUGAAAUGUGUGCUGUUGGUUUUUCUUUUCUUUUUCCUUUUUUUUCUUAUGAAAGACAUUACCUAGGCUUGGAGUGAUAAACCAGGGUUGUAAUUCCAUCUUUAGGUAGAGGCUGAAAGAUUAGGAGUUCAGUGCCAUCUUUGGCCAGCCUAAGAUACUUGAGACUGCUUCAACAAAACAACGAACCAAAAUAAAGUUGAUUGAUAGUGGGUUUUUAAAAAUGUGUUUUUAUUGAUGUUUGUUUUGUUUUCUUUUUAGACAGGGCUCUUAUAUUGCAAGCUGGCCUCCCGUCCCUGCCUUCUGCAUCACCCUGCUGGAAAAUAUUUUCUAGCUAUAUAAAAUAAAAGUCUCCAGAUAUUUAUUUAUUUUGUUUUUUUGAGACAGGGUUUUUCUGUAUAGCCCUGGCUGUCCUGGAACUCACUUUGUAGACCAGAUUGACCUCGAACUCAGAAAUCCGCCUGCCUCUGCCUCCCGAGUACUGGGAUUAAAGGCGUGUGCCACCACGCUCGGCUCAGAUAUAUUUUUUUAAAUAAAAAUAUUUCUAACGUUGUAUUUACAAUUGGGAUUUAAAAUCCACCCACCACUAGGUCAGGUUCCAUGCCCACUCCUUUGAUUUAUCUGUUGCCCUCCCUCCACUUAAUACUUAAGAUCAUAACCUGAUAGUUGUUAGAAUGAGCCGAGCAACUGGAGUCCCCCAAGCCACCUUAGCCUUUCCUAACGCUAAGUCUCAUAAUCUUCCUAGUAGGAAUGAAGAUAUUCUAAAGAAGCUCUUGUGCUCCUCUUUUUGAUAAGACUCCAAGAAACUGGAACUUCUCCAGGAAUUACAUGCUGGGUGAAAGAAGGCUGAAGCCUGCCUGGUUCCAGCCAGAGGGACAGCUUUCUCUCACACAUAGAUUUCACACCACCUUGCAGGAGAGGCUAAAGUUGAAACCAUGAUGGAAAAGGUAUCACACCUUGACCGAGGCUGCUUAGUUAUGCACAGCAGUUGAACCAAACGUCAUGUUCGGACUCUGAUGAUGAACUUGGUCGGAGGAUGGGGGGGUCAAUUGCCUCCUUUUGUUCCUUUUCCUUUUUUUUUUUUUUUUUUUUUUUUUUU